rnacentral:rRNA from 1 species
UACGAAGGGGGCUAGCGUUGUUCGGAAUUACUGGGCGUAAAGCGCACGUAGGCGGAUUUGUUAGUCAGGGGUGAAAUCCCGGGGCUCAACCUCGGAACUGCCUUUGAUACUGCAAGUCUCGAGUCCGGAAGAGGUGAGUGGAACUGCGAGUGUAGAGGUGAAAUUCGUAGAUAUUCGCAAGAACACCAGUGGCGAAGGCGGCUCACUGGCCCGGUACUGACGCUGAGGCACGAAAGCGUGGGGAGCAAACAGG